rnacentral:lncRNA from 10 species
CUACAGAGGCAGGCAGGCCUCCUUGAGCUGUGGUGGGCUCCACCCAGUUGGAGCUUCCCGGCUGCUUUGUUUACCUAAUCAAGCCUGGGCAAUGGCGGGCGCCCCUCCCCCAGCCUCGCUGCCGCCUUGCAGUUUGAUCUCAGACUGCUGUGCUAGCAAUCAGCGAGACUCCAUGGGCGUAGGACCCUCCAAGCCAGUGAGAUGAACCCGGUACCUCAGAUGGAAAUGCAGAAAUCACCCGUCUUCUGCAUCGCUCACGCUGGGAGCUGUAGACCGGAGCUGUUCCUAUUCGGCCAUCUUGGCUGCUCCCCCACUUCCUUGCUUUUUUAAGGGAUCCCUUCAGAUGAGGAGACGGAAGUCCAGAGGGUUUCAAUCGCUUGCCCAAAGUCACAGAGUCGGGAAGUGCAGAGCCAGGCCACUGCCUGGUUUUAAAUUCUGGGUGGAAAUGCAACGUGCCGGUCAACAUGGUGUGCUGAUGUGGAGGAAAGCUGGGAUUCCUUUUCUCAUUUGAAAAAUGUUGAAACAGAUGGAUAUAAAAAAAGCAAAAUGUCUUGUUCCACGUUUCCAAAAGAGGAAGUAUGAAAGGCGUAAUUGAAAUUCAAAACGUUUGGUCUGAAAAUCCUACAUCCUUUCUCCUAACAACCGUGAAUUCUUACUAAAGGAUAAGGCAUUAAAGCCUUUUUUGAACCAUCUUUCUCUUAUGGAGGAACACAGCCUAUUAAACCACACCAGCUACUAACUGCCUGCUAGGGUCUGAAAGUGUCCUCCCAGCAGUCAUGUCUCCAAGGUGAUGGCAUUAGGACGUGGGGCCUGUCGGAGGUGAUUAAGUCACUAGAGUGGAGCUCUUAUGAAUGGGAUUAGUAACAACUUUCCUAAGAAGAGGCCAGAGAGCUAGCUCUUUCCACCAGGAGAGGAUACAGGAGAAGUCAGCCAUCUGCAACCUGGAAGAGGGUCCUCACCAGAACUCAACCAUGCUGGCACUCUGAUCUCGGACUUCCAGCCUUCAGAACGAUGUUUCUGCCCUCUGGGGCCAAUUCCACCACUCCCUGGAAAGUGAUGUGAUGACCCUGGGCUUGAGUCCAAAGAACAUAGGAGAGUUUUGGCAGGUCGAUGGUGUGUUGGUGCCAACCCACUUAGAGCGAAAACUGUUUAAACCAGUUUUAAUUGGAUUUCCCUCACUUGCAACAAGGAAGACCUGAAUAAUAUUGCUUCUGUCUGUAUGUCCAAAUACUUUCAUUUUUCAAGAAGCAAUGUUAUACCAACGUCAGAACAAAGGAACACUUUAUGCUGAUCC